GCCACCUCACAGUAAAAAAUUAUGUGAUUAAGUAAAGAUAUGAGACCUUGGACAGUUAUUAAGCUAACUAAUUCUAUAAAAUAUAGUGUUGAAAUUAAUACAGUGUGAAUAGAGCAACAAAAUCUCUUUGAGUUGUUUCAGAGAUAAACCUCAACGUUACCAAUCCUGUACAGAUUCUUGGUGUACUUAAUUAACAGCUUAAAACACUUUCCAAAUAAUUGGGUGAACUACGUAGUGUGUUUUAUUUUCCCAAAUGUGCAACUUUCCCCUCUGAUCUGUGCAAAAGAUUACGUGAACCCAGUAACAGAUAAAGUACCUUACAUGAUCUUCUGGUGUGAGAUGACAGUGAAACACAGAAAUACUUUCUGCUUGUUUUGCCAUAGAAUGCACUUGAAGCACCCAGCUGCUUAGUGAAUGACAGACUUAAAGGUGUCUACUGAAGAGAAAUUAUCUGACUGUGGAUGUCUAUGUACGUUGCUAAUUUUGAGAUUAAGCUGCUGGGUUGUGAUGAUGAACAGUUGUUGGCUACAGUUGUAUGUGCUUAGCUUGUGAUUUUUGCAGGAAAAUAUGGACAGCAUGAAAUGUACCUAUUGUUACUUAUUUUUUAAAAGGUGAUGCCUAAUUAGCAGACUUAAUUAUUUUGUGUCUAUUGAAAGCAGCAAUAAGGCUUCCAAUGUAUUGCCUUUGGGGUUUUUUCAGUACUCAUUACAAUGUUUCCUGGCAUUCAUCAACACUUCUAAAUUACUGGGAAGAGUGUAAUUAAUCAUUUGCUUCCUUAUGCUUCCUACUAGACAAACACAGAUCAUUGCAGGCAAGUUGAAGUAAGCCAUUUCAGAUUUUCAAAACAUGCUGCAGCUAGUGGAAUCUUGGAGUAAGCACCGCUUCAAACAUUCUAUCAAUGUUUAGCACAAAAGGCUCCUUUUCUAGAAAACCGUUCUUCAAAAGAGCGGAGUGCAGCAGCAUGCUUCAGCCUCCAGGAUUCACACCACUACCUUUAGGCAGUACGACUACUUUUGAGUUAUUGCUUAGAGGAAUGAUAAUAAUAAAAACUGAAUAGC